rnacentral:rRNA from 1 species
UACAGAGGGUGCAAGCGUUAAUCGGAAUUACUGGGCGUAAAGCGUGCGUAGACGGUUAUGUAAGUCGGGUGUGAAAGCCCCGGGCUCAACCUGGGAAUUGCAUUCGAGACUGUGUAGCUAGGGUACGGAAGAGGGAAGCGGAAUUUCAGGUGUAGCGGUGAAAUGCGUAGAUAUCUGAAGGAACACCAGUGGCGAAAGCGGCUUCCUGGUCCAGUACCGACGUUCAGGCACGAAAGCAUGGGGAGCGAACAGG